rnacentral:tRNA from 2 species
GCACCCGUAGCUCAAUUGGAUAGAGUGUCGCCCUCCGAAGGCGAAGGUUUCGCGUUCGACUCGCGACGGGUGCACCA